rnacentral:rRNA from 1 species
GAAUUGACGGGGGCCCGCACAAAACGGGGAGCAUGUGGUUUAAUUUGAAGCAACGCGAAGAACCUUACCAGGUCUUGACAUCCUUUGAACAUUCUAGAGAUAGAGCUUCCCCUUCGGGGGCAAAGUGACAGGUGGUGCAUGGUUGUCGUCAGCUCGUGUCGUGAGAUGUUGGGUUAAGUCCCGCAACGAGCGCAACCCUUAUUGUUAGUUGCCAUCAUUUAGUUGGGCACUUUAGCAAGACUGCCGGUGACAAACCGGAGGAAGGUGGGGAUGGCGUCAAAUCAUCAUGCCCCUUAUGACCUGGGGUACACACGUGCUACAAUGGGAAGUACAACGAGUUGCGAAGUCGCGAGGGUAAGCUAAUCUUUUAAAGCUUCUCUCAGUUCGGAUUGCAGGCUGCAACUCGCCUGCAUGAAGCCGGAAUCGCUAGUAAUCGCGGAUCAGCACGCCGCGGUGAAUACGUUCCCGGGCCUUGUACACACCGCCCGUCACACCCCGAGAGUUUGUAACACCCGAAGUCGGUGAGGUAACCUUUUUGGAGCCAGCCGCCUAAGGUGGGAUAGAUGAUUGGGGGAAGUCGAUCAAGUGACUUGGCGGC